rnacentral:lncRNA from 13 species
AUGUUCCGGGAUUCUUCCGAUUGCAUUGAGGAGUACACCACAUCAGUCACUGGCUUUAUCAAUAAGUGCAUUGAGUACGUCGUCCCCACAGUAACUGUACGUACAUACCCCAACCAGAAGCCAUGGAUUACAGGCAACAUUCGCACUGAGCUAAAGGGUAGAGCUUCCACUUUCAAGGUGAGGGACUCUAACCUGGAAGCUUACAAUAAAUCCUGCUAUGCCCUGCGACGAACCAUCAAACAGGCAAAGCGUCAAUACAGGGCUAAGAUUGAAUCAUACUACACCGGCUCUAACGCUUGUCUUAUGUGGCAGGGCUUGCAAACUAUUACAGACUACAAAGGGAAGCACAGCGGAGAGCUGCCCAGUGACACGAGCCUACCAGAUGAGCUAAAUCCCUUCAAUGCUCACUUCGAAGCAAGCAACACUGAGGCAUGCACAAGAGCAUCAGGAUUUUCGGACGACUGUGGGAUCACAGUCUCCGUAGCCGACGUGAGUAAGACCUUUAAACAGGUCAACAUACACAAGGCUGCAGGGCCAGACAGAUUACCAGGACGUGUGCUCCGGGCAUGUGCUGACCAACUGGCAGGUGUCUUCACUGACAUUUUCAACAUGUCCCUGACUGAGUCUGUAAUACCAACAUGUUUCAAGCAGACCACCAUAAUCCCUGUGCCCAGGAACAGAAAGGUAACCUGCCGAAAUGACUACAGACCCAUAGCACUCACGUCUGUAGCUUUGAAGUGCUUUGAAAGGCUGGUCAUGGCUCACAUCAACACCAUUAUCCCAGAAACCCUAGACCCACUCCAAUUUGCAUACUGCCCAAACAGAUCCACAGAUGAUGCAAUCUCUAUUGCACUCCACACUGCCCUUUCCCACCUGGACAAAAGGAACACUUAUGUGAGAAUGCUAUUCAUUGACUACCGCUCAGCGUUCAACACCAUAGUACCCUCAAAGCUCAUCAAUAAGCUAAGGAUCCUGGGAUUAAACACCUCCCUCUGCAACUAG